rnacentral:misc_RNA from 1 species
AACGCACAUUGCGCCCAUUAGUAUUCUAGUGGGCAUGCCUGUUCGAGCGUCAUUAAGUCCACUUAAGCCCACUGCUUAGUGUUGGGAGUCUACUCGAGCGGUGCUACCUGGGAGUUACCCUGUAGUUACCCUGUAGUUCCUCAAAGACAACGGCGGAGUCGUGGUUGUAUUCCGAGCUUAGUAAUUCUUCUAGCUUUCGAGUUCACCACCUCCCCUGCCGCUAAACACCCUUCUAUUCUGAAUGGUUGACCUCGGAUCAGGUAGGAAUACCCGCUGAACUUAA